rnacentral:rRNA from 1 species
GACGAACGCUGGCGGCGUGCUUAACACAUGCAAGUCGAACGGAAAGGCCCUGCUUUUGCGGGGUGCUCGAGUGGCGAACGGGUGAGUAACACGUGAGUAACCUGCCCUUGACUUUGGGAUAACUUCAGGAAACUGGGGCUCAUACCGGAUAGGAGCUCCUGCUGCAUGGUGGGGGUUGGAAAGUUUCGGCGGUUGGGGAUGGACUCGCGGCUUAUCAGCUUGUUGGUGGGGUAGUGGCUUACCAAGGCUUUGACGGGUAGCCGGCCUGAGAGGGUGACCGGGCACAUUGGGACUGAGAUACGGCCCAGACUGCUACGGGAGGCAGCAGUGGGGAAUAUGGCACAAUGGGCGGAAGCCUGAUGCAGCAACGCCGCGUGCGGGAUGACGGCCUUCGGGUUGUAAACCGCUUUCGCAUGUGACGAAGCGUGAGUGACGGUAAUGGGUAAAGAAGCACCGGCUAACUACGUG